rnacentral:rRNA from 1 species
AUUGAACGCUGGCGGUAUGCUUAAGACAUGCAAGUCGAACGGUAACAGGUUAAGCUGACGAGUGGCGGACGAGUGAGUAACGCGUGGGAAUCUACCUUGUAGUGGGGGAUAAGCCAGGGAAACUUGGACUAAUACCGCAUACGCCCUAAGGGGGAAAGGCGCAAGUCGCUAUAAGAUGAGCCCGCGUCUGAUUAGGUAGUUGGUGGGGUAAAGGCCUACCAAGCCGACGAUCAGUAGCUGGUCUGAGAGGAUGAUCAGCCACGUCGGGACUGAGACACGGCCCGGACUCCUACGGGAGGCAGCAGUCGGGAAUAUUGGACAAUGGGGGAAACCCUGAUCCAGCAAUACCGCGUGUGUGAAGAAGGCCUGCGGGUUGUAAAGCACUUUCAGUUGGGUAAGGAUAAUAGACGUUACCAACAGAAGAAGCACCGGCUAACUACCGUGCCAG